GACGAACGCUGGCGGCGUGCUUAACACAUGCAAGUCGAACGGAAAGGCCCUGCUUUUGUGGGGUGCUCGAGUGGCGAACGGGUGAGUAACACGUGAGUAUCCUGCCCUUGACUUUGGGAUAACUUCAGGAAACUGGGGCUAAUACCGGAUAGGAGCUCCUGCUGCAUGGUGGGGGUUGGAAAGUUUCGGCGGUUGGGGAUGGACUCGCGGCUUAUCAGCUUGUUGGUGGGGUAGUGGCUUACCAAGGCUUUGACGGGUAGCCGGCCUGAGAGGGUGACCGGCCACAUUGGGACUGAGAUACGGCCCAGACUCCUACGGGAGGCAGCAGUGGGGAAUAUGGCACAAUGGGCGGAAGCCUGAUGCAGCAACGCCGCGUGCGGGAUGACGGCCUUCGGGUUGUAAACCGCUUUCGCCUGUGACGAAGCGUGAGUGACGGUAAUGGGUAAAGAAGCACCGGCUAACUACGUG
rnacentral:rRNA from 1 species